GACGAACGCUGGCGGCGUGCCUAAUACAUGCAAGUAGAACGCUGAAGGAGGAGCUUGCUCUUCUGGAUGAGUUGCGAACGGGUGAGUAACGCGUAGGUAACCUGCCUGGUAGCGGGGGAUAACUAUUGGAAACGAUAGCUAAUACCGCAUAAGAGUAGAUGUUGCAUGACAUUUGCUUAAAAGGUGCAAUUGCAUCACUACCAGAUGGACCUGCGUUGUAUUAGCUAGUUGGUGGGGUAACGGCUCACCAAGGCGACGAUACAUAGCCGACCUGAGAGGGGGAUCGGCCACACUGGGACUGAGACACGGCCCAGACUCCUACGGGAGGCAGCAGUAGGGAAUCUUCGGCAAUAGACGGAAGUCUGACCGAGCAACGCCGCGUGAGUGAAGAAGGUUGUCGGAUCGUAAAGCUCUGUUGUAAGAGAAGAACGAGUGUGAGAGUGGAAAGUUCACACUGUGACGGUAUCUUACCAGAAAGGGACGGCUAACUACGUG
rnacentral:rRNA from 1 species